UUGAGUUUGAUCAUGGCUCAGAUUGAACGCUGGCGGCAGGCCUAACACAUGCAAGUCGAGCGGAAACGAUGGAAGCUUGCUUUCAGGCGUCGAGCGGCGGACGGGUGAGUAAUGCAUAGGAAUCUGCCCGAUAGUGGGGGAUAACGUGGGGAAACCCACGCUAAUACCGCAUACGUCCUACGGGAGAAAGCAGGGGAUCUUCGGACCUUGCGCUAUCGGAUGAGCCUAUGUCGGAUUAGCUAGUUGGUGAGGUAAUGGCUCACCAAGGCGACGAUCCGUAGCUGGUCUGAGAGGAUGAUCAGCCACACUGGGACUGAGACACGGCCCAGACUCCUACGGGAGGCAGCAGUGGGGAAUAUUGGACAAUGGGGGAAACCCUGAUCCAGCCAUGCCGCGUGUGUGAAGAAGGCCUUCGGGUUGUAAAGCACUUUCAGCGAGGAAGAAGGCCUGAGGGUUAAUACCCUUCAGGAAGGACAUCACUCGCAGAAGACGCC
rnacentral:rRNA from 1 species